rnacentral:rRNA from 1 species
AUGAACGCUAGCGACAGGCCUAACACAUGCAAGUCAGGGGCAGCACAAGGAGCAAUCUGAGGUGGCGACCGGCGCACGGGUGAGUAACACGUAUGCAACCUGCCUGUAAGCGGGGAAUAACCCGUUGAAAGACGGACUAAUACCGCAUAAUACUAAAUUACUGCAUGGUAAUUUAUUUAAACAUUUAUGGCUUACAGAUGGGCAUGCGCAUGAUUAGCUAGUUGGAGAGGUAACGGCUCCCCAAGGCAACGAUCAUUAGGGGUUCUGAGAGGAAGGUCCCCCACACUGGUACUGAGACACGGACCAGGCUCCUACGGGAGGCAGCAGUGAGGAAUAUUGGUCAAUGGACGAGAGUCUGAACCAGCCAAGUCGCGUGCAGGAAGAAUGUCCCUAUGGAUUGUAAACUGCUUUUGCAGGGGAAUAAAGUGCAUCACGUGUGAUGUUUUGUAUGUACUCUGCGAAUAAGGAUCGGCUAACUCCGUGCCAGCCGCCGC